rnacentral:lncRNA from 1 species
CGGGUAAUAACAGAUCAGAAUAAUGAAAGAAAUCAAUUUUUAGAGACAGACUGAUUAUUUCCAUAAAAGGAGUAGUAAAAGCAUGUAGUGAACAAUCAAGUCUGAGUACGAAAAUAUAUUUAUUUUUGGAAAGGAUUCAACAAGGUAAAUAUUACAGUAAAGGGAAAAUAAUCAAUCAAUUCUAAACAUGCGAGUAAAACUAGGGUUCAUAGAAGAAAAGAUUUGAAAUCAGUCACAUGAUUAGGGUCAAUCAAAGAAGAAACAUGCUUCUGCACUUUAGUAUAUAAAUAGAGUGAACAGAAGACAUCAGACAUGCGAGGCCAAGCACAAUGGCAAAACAGAUAAUCAUAAGCAUGCAGUAGUGGCAGAAAAAGCCAGGGUUUAAUAGUAAAGCAAACAUUCAAAGCAUAGUAAUCAAGUAGGUCAAGUCUCAUUGAAUCAACUGUGAAGAAAACAGAGUAUCAGAACAUGCAAAGGUCUCACAGUAGCAGGUGAGGAAACCCUUUGAAAAGUUAGGAUUUCAGCCGUAGUCGAGUUGAAAGAUAGUAAAAAUUAGAUAAGUCACAUAAAGAAAAAAAUCCUAAACAAAAGCUUUCAGUCGAGUCAAGUACUCAAACAAACAAUUUCAGACCUAAAGACCUAGUGCUUUUCAACAACAAUUGAGUUUUAAAAAUGGUAGCACAAAUAAGUCGAACAAGAACAAGGAACGUAGCUAAACAAGUAUACAUUUAAACAAACAGCUUCAGGAUUCGAAUGAGAUCCAAAAGAAAUCAGGGUUUUCAACAUGUUGACUCAAGUAGAAGGAAACCAUGAACAAAACACAGCAAAAUUAGAAACACGUUAAAGUUAGAGAAGAGAUUUUUUUUGAAAUAACUUAAAGGAAUAACCUAAUCAGAAAAAUGAAGAGCCAUUUUGAAAGCAGGUUAAAGAACCUUCGAGAAACACUUAAGAAAGUCAUAGCAAGUAGUAGAUCUGAAAGAAAGUUGAAAGAUCUUAAAGAUUAGGGUUUCGAAUAACCCAGAAAAGGUGAGAAAGGCCCUAAAAGUUACCGAUCUAACCAGCGAAGUCAAGGAUCUAACUCGAAAGGCCAUGGCUGGCCGGAGAAAGGUCAAGGAUGACCGGAGAAUAAACAUCCUGGAGCCAUAGGAGGUCCCUACACGUCUAAAAUGACCAUGAGGGGCCAUGGAUUAGGCAGGGCUUAGGGUGGAUUAAGGUGUAGUUUGAUGGUGACAGUUAGGGUUUGUAAGAGUGUUAGAGAGAGUUGACAGAGAAGAGGG